ensembl:ncRNA F44E5.10 ncRNA
CGUUUUCCCCGCCACUUUCUUCAAUGUUGAAAUCGAAAUGUUUAUCGACGUCAUCAUGCUCCUCACCCCCCUCUUUGCCUUGUGCUCCUUCUCGGCCUGAUGAAUUGACGUCUUUAUUGAAGAAGGGCGAAAGUUUUCAAAUAUUUACUA